GACGAACGCUGGCGGCGUGCCUAAUACAUGCAAGUAGAACGCUGAAGGAGGAGCUUGCUUCUCUGGAUGAGUUGCGAACGGGUGAGUAACGCGUAGGUAACCUGCCUGGUAGCGGGGGAUAACUAUUGGAAACGAUAGCUAAUACCGCAUAAGAGUAGAUGUUGCAUGACAUUUGCUUAAAAGGUGCAAUUGCAUCACUACCAGAUGGACCUGCGUUGUAUUAGCUAGUUGGUGAGGUAACGGCUCACCAAGGCAACGAUACAUAGCCGACCUGAGAGGGUGAUCGGCCACACUGGGACUGAGACACGGCCCAGACUCCUACGGGAGGCAGCAGUAGGGAAUCUUCGGCAAUGGACGGAAGUCUGACCGAGCAACGCCGCGUGAGUGAAGAAGGUUUUCGGAUCGUAAAGCUCUGUUGUAAGAGAAGAACGAGUGUGAGAGUGGAAAGUUCACACUGUGACGGUAUCUACCAGAAAGGG
rnacentral:rRNA from 1 species